rnacentral:rRNA from 1 species
AACGAACGCUGGCGGCAUGCCUAACACAUGCAAGUCGAACGAGACCUUCGGGUCUAGUUGCGCACGGGUGCGUAACGCGUGGGAACCUGCCCUUAGGUUCGGAAUAACUCCCCGAAAGGGGUGCUAAUACCGGAUAAUGUCUUCGGACCAAAGAUUUAUCGCCUUUGGAUGGGCCCGCGUUGGAUUAGCUAGUUGGUAGGGUAAAAGCCUACCAAGGCGACGAUCCAUAGCUGGUCUGAGAGGAUGAUCAGCCACACUGGGACUGAGACACGGCCCAGACUCAUACGGGAGGCAGCAGUGGGGAAUAUUGGACAAUGGGCGAAAGCCUGAUCCAGCAAUGCCGCGUGAGUGAUGAAGGCCUUAGGGUUGUAAAGCUCUUUUACCCGGGAUGAUAAUGACAGUACCGGGAGAAUAAGCUCCGGCUAACUCCGUG